rnacentral:snRNA from 1 species
GCACCUACUUUGACAGACAAAUACUAAAAUUGGAACAAAUCAGGGAAGAUUAGCAUGCUCUUGUGCAAGGAUGACACGGAAAUUCAUGGAACAGCGGAUUCAUAUUUUA